GACGAACGCUGGCGGCGCGCCUAACACAUGCAAGUCGAACGAUGAAACUUUAACAGAUCGCUCCGGGGCGAGGAUAGAGUGGAAUAGCGGCGGAAGGGUGAGUAACACGUUAGUAACCUGGCGUUAACAUUGGGAUAGCCUCGGGAAACCGGGAUUAAUCCCAAAUAAAAUCAUAAUGGCACAUGUCACAACGAUCAAAGGUACGGGCGGCUAAGGGGGGCUCGCGUCGGAUUAGCUAGUUGGUAGAGUAAAAGCCUACCAAGGCGACGAUGGGUAGCCGGGCUGAGAGAGUGAGCAGCCACACUGGAACUGAGAAACGGUCCAGACUCCUACGGGAGGCAGCAGUGGGGAAUAUUGCACAAUGGAGGGAACCCUGAUGCAGCGACGCCGCGUGAGCGAUGAAGGCUUUAGAGUCGUAAAGCUCUUUUAUAUGGGAAGAUAAUGACGGUACCAUAAGAAUAAGCCCCGGCUAACUACGUG
rnacentral:rRNA from 1 species